GAUUGCUGAGCUGUAAAGCAAGACAGAUUGCAUACCUUUUAGAGCAUAUGCUACAGCAAAAGUCCUGAAUAUUAUAUCUAAAACCCCACUUCCAGGGAGGACAGGCUAAGAUAUCUUUGCUUGUGUUCAUUAUGAGCUGAUGGAAAACAGAUCCCCUUUGAGACAUUUGCUUAGGUGAACCUGGGCCAGGUCCAUGCACAGAAGAGGCUGGAUUACAAUAGGCAGGUGGUGGUGAAGUACUUGGUUCUGUAGAUGGACUGCACAUCAGUAAAGAAAGCAAAAAUACAGAAAGGAUGAGAUGAAACACCUAAGAGAUCAGAAAUCCUGCUGCCCUUUCUGAAGAAGGCAGAGCAAAAAUGGGAUCUUCUCAAUGAUACCUGGAUUUGGCAACCCAACAUUAUCUUUUCUCACUGAUCACCCCUGCCUGCCCAAGUGUGAU